rnacentral:rRNA from 1 species
UUGGAGGGCAAGUCUGGUGCCAGCAGCCGCGGUAAUUCCAGCUCCAAUAGCGUAUAUUAAAGUUGUUGCAGUUAAAAAGCUCGUAGUUGAAUUUCGGGGUCAGUAGGUUGGUCAUGCCACUGGUAUGUACUGGUCUCACUGAUUCCUCCUUCCUGAUGAGCCGUAAUGCCAUUAAUUUGGUGUUGCGAGGAACCUGGACUGUUACUUUGAAAAAAUUAGAGUGUUUAAAGCAAGCUAACGCUUGAAUACAUUAGCAUGGAAUAAUGAAAUAGGACGUUCGAUCCUAUUUUGUUGGUUUCUAGGAUUGACGUAAUGAUUAAUAGGGAUAGUUGGGGGCAUCAGUAUUCAAUUGUCAGAGGUGAAAUUCUUGGAUUUAUUGAAAACUAACUACUGCGAAAGCAUUUGCCAAGGAUGUUUUCAUUAAUCAAGAACGAAAGUUAGGGGAUCGAAGACGAUCAGAUACCGUCGUAGUCUUAACCAUAAACUAUGCCGACUAGGGAUCGGAUGAUGUUAAUUUUUUAAUGACUCGUUCGGCGCCUUACGGGAAACCAAAGUGUUUGGGUUC